AUUGAACGCUGGCGGCAAGCCUAACACAUGCAAGUCGAGCGGAUGAGGGGAGCUUGCUCCUGGAUUCAGCGGCGGACGGGUGAGUAAUGCCUAGGAAUCUGCCUGGUAGUGGGGGAUAACGUCCGGAAACGGGCGCUAAUACCGCAUACGUCCUGAGGGAGAAAGUGGGGGAUCUUCGGACCUCACGCUAUCAGAUGAGCCUAGGUCGGAUUAGCUAGUUGGUGGGGUAAAGGCCUACCAAGGCGACGAUCCGUAACUGGUCUGAGAGGAUGAUCAGUCACACUGGAACUGAGACACGGUCCAGACUCCUACGGGAGGCAGCAGUGGGGAAUAUUGGACAAUGGGCGAAAGCCUGAUCCAGCCAUGCCGCGUGUGUGAAGAAGGUCUUCGGAUUGUAAAGCACUUUAAGUUGGGAGGAAGGGCAGUAAGUUAAUACCUUGCUGUUUUGACGUUACCAACAGAAUAAGCACCGGCUAACUUCGUG
rnacentral:rRNA from 1 species